GGGAGCGCGGGAGCGAGUGACAGGAUCGAUGCGCGAGAAUAUUUCCAGGUCGCGUCAGCGCAACCGCUCAUAACGGUCUGGUUGCAGGUUCGAGUCCUGCCGGGCCCACCA
rnacentral:tRNA from 1 species